rnacentral:rRNA from 1 species
AUACGUAGGGUGCAAGCGUUAAUCGGAAUUACUGGGCGUAAAGCGUGCGCAGGCGGGUUUGUAAGGCAGAGGUGAAAUCCCCGGGCUCAACCUGGGAAAUGCCUUUGGGGCUGCAAGGCUCGAGGACGGCAGUGGGGGGUUGAAAUCCCGGGGUUGGCGUGGAAUGCGUAGAUAUGCGGAGGAACACCGAUGGCGAAGGCAAUCCCCUGGGCCUGUACUGACGCUCAUGCACGAAAGCGUGGGGAGCAAACAGGAUUAGAUACCCUGGUAGUCCACGCCCUAAACGAUGUCAACUGGUUGUUGGGUCUUCAUUGACUCAGUAACGAAGCUAACGCGUGAAGUUGACCGCCUGGGGAGUACGGCCGCAAGGUUGAAACUCAAAUGAAUUGACGGGG